GCAUCAGUGGUGUAGUGGUAACAUACAACUCUUCCAGAAUAGGCAAUUGUCUGUUGAGCGACAAGUUGUGCCAGGGGUUCGAUUCCCUUCUGACGCA